rnacentral:rRNA from 1 species
UUCGCCCUUAGAGUUUGAUCCUGGCUCAGGACGAACGCUGGCGGCGUGCUUAACACAUGCAAGUCGAACGAGAAUCUGUGGAUUGAGGAUUCGUCCAAAUGAAACAGAGGACAGUGGCGGACGGGUGAGUAACGCGUGAGGAACCUGCCUUUCAGAGGGGGACAACAGUUGGAAACGACUGCUAAUACCGCAUAAUGCAUAGAAGUCGCAUGGCUUUUAUGCCAAAGAUUUAUCGCUGAAAGAUGGCCUCGCGUCUGAUUAGCUAGUUGGUGAGGUAACGGCCCACCAAGGCGACGAUCAGUAGCCGGACUGAGAGGUUGAACGGCCACAUUGGGACUGAGAUACGGCCCAGACUCCUACGGGAGGCAGCAGUGGGGAAUAUUGGGCAAUGGGCGCAAGCCUGACCCAGCAACGCCGCGUGAAGGAAGAAGGCUUUCGGGUUGUAAACUUCUUUUGUCAGGGAAGAGCAGAAGACUGUACCUGGCGAAUAAGCCACGGCUAACUACGUGCCAGCAGCCGCGGUAAUACGUAGGUGGCAAGCGUUGUCCGGAUUUACUGGGUGUAAAGGGCGUGUAGCCGGGUCGGUAAGUCAGAUGUGAAAUCUACGGGCUCAACUCGUAAACUGCAUUUGAAACUGCUGAUCUUGAGUAUCGGAGAGGCAAUCGGAAUUCCUAGUGUAGCGGUGAAAUGCGUAGAUAUUAGGAGGAACACCAGUGGCGAAGGCGGCUUGCUGGGCUUUUACUGACGCUGAGGCUCGAAAGUGUGGGGAGCAAACAGGAUUAGAUACCCUGGUAGUCCACACUGUAAACGAUGAUUACUAGGUGUGGGGGGUCUGACCCCUUCCGUGCCGCAGUUAACGCAAUAAGUAAUCCACCUGGGGAGUACGACCGCAAGGUUGAAACUCAAAGGAAUUGACGGGGGCCCGCACAAGCGGUGGAUUAUGUGGUUUAAUUCGAAGCAACGCGAAGAACCUUACCAGGGCUUGACAUCCUACUAACGAGAUAGAGAUAUGUUAGGUGCCCUUCGGGGAAAGUAGAGACAGGUGGUGCAUGGUUGUCGUCAGCUCGUGUCGUGAGAUGUUGGGUUAAGUCCCGCAACGAGCGCAACCCCUAUUGUUAGUUGCUACGCAAGAGCACUCUAGCGAGACUGCCGUUGACAAAACGGAGGAAGGUGGGGAGGACGUCAAAUCAUCAUGCCCCUUAUGUCCUGGGCUACACACGUAAUACAAUGGCGGUCAACAGAGGGAUGCAAUCCCGCGAGGAGGAGCAAACCCCUAAAAACGGUCUCAGUUCGGAUUGCAGGCUGCAACUCGCCUGCAUGAAGUUGGAAUUGCUAGUAAUCGCGGAUCAGCAUGCCGCGGUGAAUACGUUCCCGGGCCUUGCACUCACCGCCC